rnacentral:rRNA from 1 species
GACGAACGCUGGCGGCGUGCCUAACACAUGCAAGUCGAGCGAACGGACGAGAAGCUUGCUUCUCUGAUGGUAGCGGCGGACGGGUGAGUAACAUGUGGAUAACCUACCUAUAAGAAUGGGAUAAUUUUGGGAAACCGGAUCUAAUACCGGAUGAUAUUUUGAACCGCAUUGUUCAAAAGUGAAAUACGGUCUUUCUUUCACUUAUAGAUGGAUCCGCGCUUAAUUAGCUAGUUGGGAGGGUAAUGGCUUACCAAGGCUAGGAUGCAUAGCCGACCUGAGCGGGUGGUCGGACACACGGGAUCUGAGACACGGUCCCGACUCCUGCGGGAGGCCGCAGUAGGGAAUCUUCCGCAAUGGGCGAAAGGCUGACAGAGCAACGCCGCGUGAGUGAUGAAGCUCUUCGGAUCGUAAAGCUCUGUUAGUAGGGGAGAACAUAUGUUUAAGUACCUGUGCACAUCUUGACGGUACCUAGUCAAAAAGCCACGGCUAACUACGUG